CGGCGGGGCAGCGGGAAGGGAGGCCCCGGGCCCGGGAGGGCUCCGAGGGCGAGCCGGCCCCGCACGCGGGGUCGCCGCGCUGAGCCCGGUCUGAUGGCGGCGGUGGCUGGGGCUCGGUGCGGUUUACGCGGCGGUGUGUUCGGCUGAAGGGAGAUUUAAAGAUCUGUAAUGAAGUCUCACGCUCGGCUGCUCGGGCGCUUAUGGAAAAGCGAUUGGCCGGGUCCGAUAAAUCAAUCCUGCUCCUCCAGCCUCUGUCCCAUUCGUUUCUGUGCUCCAGAAUUUUCUCCCUUGCGGAAGGAACCACAUCUAACCGGGUGCCGCUUGGAAACGCAUCGUGCCAGAAGCCACCGUGCUAAUUAUAGAUUAAUGGGAGGGGACACCGCGCAGCACCCUCAGCGCCGUGACUCGCUGGCAGCAGGCUUUGCUCGGCGAGGUGAGGUUAAAGGCACGGGAAGCGGGCUGGGAGCUCCGAGCUCUGCACCCCCGCCCGGCCCCGCAGAGGCUUAACAACCUGCGCACGUUCCCUUUAUUUGUGUUCGUACCGAGGAGCUGAGCCGAGCCUCGAGUCACCCGCGAAGGAAGAGCACAGUUAGUUGUCGUUGUAUUCGUUCCGAUUUAUAAAUAAUGUUUCUGGCUUCGCAUUGUUCAAAGUUUAAUUUAAAAACGUUUAAAAAUUAGCCCUCGAACUACGUGCUGGAUUGCAGCCAGACACGGUGCUGCUGCUCCUUGGGACUCCGGAAAUACCCGAAAGGACCGGGAGGGAAACCGAGAGCUCCCACCCGGUUAGCUGGGAUGGAAGCGCGGCGCUACGGCUUCAGCCUUUCACGUUUUAAUUGUUCUGAACCGGCGGGGUAUUUCACAGAACCAGCACGUCAAUGGUGGGAGCAAUCACACCUACUGGAGGAGGAUGUCGUGGUUUUUGAUUUCCUCUCUGCCUCGCACACAAACCGCCACAUUUCUGGAUCUGUCUGUGUACACGCGCAUAGAAAAUUGGGGGUGGCUGCAUAUCGCACGCACACGUACAUAAAUUUCUCUAAUAUGUUUCUACGUUCAGGGGCCGGAUCAGCAGCAAAUAAAUGUUCCCUGAUUUAGAGCA
rnacentral:lncRNA from 1 species